CUCAGAUUUAACAUUUGCUACAGAAUUAGAUUUCCUUUAGGUCAACCAGAGCAGAUAAAAAUUUGCUUUCAGUAAAUCUUCCUCAGAUCUAUUGUAACUUCAUCAGAGUAGUGAAACAUGAUACUGGAAGGGGUGUCCUGCUUAAAGAGCUAUCUCACUUUCAUUUUUACAUUUUCAUAGGUUUUAAGUGUUUUCUCUGUUCAGUGUAGCUCAUUUUGUUCAUUUAAUUCUCUUUUCAAAUAUCAGAUGACCUAGCAGUCCAUCUUAUUGGUCAGAGUUUAAGCCCGUUUUUCAUGUCUCAUUUCAGUGCUUCUUUAUUC
rnacentral:lncRNA from 1 species